rnacentral:rRNA from 1 species
UAUUGUAUAUUGGGGGAAACACUGAUCCAGCCAUCUCGCGUGUAUGAUUAAUGUCUUCGGGUUGUAAAGUACUUUUGGCAGUGCAGAGAAGGUAUCCACUAAUACCGGAUACUGCUGGCGGUAUCUGCAGAAUAAGCACCGGCUGACUACGUGCCAGAAGCCGCGGUAAUACGUAGGGUGCAAGCGUUAAUCGGAAUUACUGGGCGUAAAGCGUGUGUAGGCGGUUCGGAAAGAAAGAUGUGAAAUACCAGGGCUCAACCUUGGAACUGCAUUUUUAACUGCCGAGCUAGAGUAUGUCAGAGGGGGGUAGAAUUCCACGUGUAGCAGUGAAAUGCGUAGAUAUGUGGAGGAAUACCGAUGGCGAAGGCAGCCCCCUGGGAUAAUACUGACGCUCAGACACGAAAGCGUGGGGAGCAAACAGG